rnacentral:lncRNA from 1 species
UUGGAUGGUCUUCUUUGAAUUGAGGAGAAGAGAUAAACAUAUACACUAGAUGUCAAGCCAGAGAAAAAUGAUAGAAAUGCUACAAAAUACAUAUAUUAAAUCAUCAUAUGUUAUGAUUAUGUAAUUAACAUUAUUAAUAUUUACAUUAACAAAAAGAGAAAAUAACUAAAUAACUAAAUAUCUCUGAUUAAAAAACAGAGGAAAACAGAGUGAAAGAAACAGGGGAAGCAUACAAAUCCUCCCUCAACAAUCUCUAUGCAUCAUCUUAAGACUAAUCAAAAACUUUAACAUGAUUUUCUGACUCUAUAAAUCACCAACAGAAAUGGGUUGCCCGGAAAUUCCCAAUGGUGACCGGGAAAUCAGCCUCAAAACAGGUCUUACUUCAGGUCGACCAAAUGACCAAUCAUAGAUUGUCUCUGAUUCUUGCUUGAUCUUCAUAACUUGGCUAUGAAUUAGGAUACCCUUUUGUGCCAAGCUUUCAUCUUUGUUGUUAAUCUUCAUGCUCUUCACGUUCUUACUCAAAGAAAAAUCUCAAUCUUUUUUUUUGACACAAAGUUUCUAUAUAUAGACAGAGAUAUAACCUAUGUGUGUUUAUAUAUGACACAAAGGGAAGACAAUUACGAAACUUAAGAGAUAAGAGAUUGGAGAAGUUUGGUGAAAAAUCUCUAUUCUUUUGGAUUCAGUUUGAAGGUGACCAAAUUGGGUCAUAUAGUAGGCAGAAAUAAGGUUUUAUAUUAUUUGAAUGACUCGUUUAGUUGACCAUGUUUUUUCAACCAUUGGGUUUUGGUAUUUG